CUGGUAUGCACUGGUGCUACUGAUUUCUCCCUUCUGAAGAACUAUCAUGCCAUUCAUUUGGUGUGGUAGGGAAUCAGGACUGUUACUUUGAAAAAAUUAGAGUGUUUAAGGCAGGCUCACGCUUGAAUACAUUAGCAUGGAAUAAUGAAAUAGGACGUUGAUCUUAUUUUGUUGGUUUCUAGGAUUGACGAAAUGAUUAAUAGGGAUAGUUGGGGGCAUUAGUAUUCAAUUGUCAGAGGUGAAAUUCUUGGAUUUAUUGAAGACUAACUACUGCGAAAGCAUUUGCCAAGGAUGUUUUCAUUAAUCAAGAACGAAAGUUAGGGGAUAGAAGACGAUCAGAUACCGUCGUAGUCUUAACCAUAAACUAUGUCGACUAGGGAUCGGAUGAUGUUAAUUUUUUAAUGACUCAUUCGGCGCCUUACG
rnacentral:rRNA from 1 species